GUGCACGCUGGCGGUAGGCCUAACCCAUGCCAGUCGAACGGCAGCACAGUAAGAGCUUGCUCUUACGGGUGGCGAGUGGCGGACGGGUGAGGAAUACAUCGGAAUCUACUUUUUCGUGGGGGAUAGCGUAGGGAAACUUACGCUAAUACCGCAUACGACCUACGGGUGAAAGCAGGGGAUCUUCGGACCUUGCGCGAUUGAAUGAGCCGAUGUCGGAUUAGCUAGUUGGCGGGGUAAAGGCCCACCAAGGCGACGAUCCGUAGCUGGUCUGAGAGGAUGAUCAGCCACACUGGAACUGAGACACGGUCCAGACUCCUACGGGAGGCAGCAGUGGGGAAUAUUGGACAAUGGGCGCAAGCCUGAUCCAGCCAUACCGCGUGGGUGAAGAAGGCCUUCGGGUUGUAAAGCCCUUUUGUUGGGAAAGAAAAGCAGCAGGUUAAUACCCCGCUGUUCUGACGGUACCCAAAGAAUAAGCACCGGCUAACUUCGUG
rnacentral:rRNA from 1 species